rnacentral:antisense_RNA from 1 species
ACACGCGCUCCCUGUGGUUCUGGUAGCGAAGGGCGAGACUGGGCUCGCCAGGCGGAAGUGGUUGGAGACUGCGUGUUUUCCUAGAAAGUCCUCGACCUUCGUCGGGGAGAGGAGGGGAGUGAUAAAUUGGAAGGCGGACAAGCGACAAGUGCAGUACUGGAAAGACCCAGACAUACUUGGUUGUGACCUCAGGUCACAUCUCCCAAGAAGCAGUAAUGUUCCAGCAAUAAGAAAAGGACAGUUUUUUCUCUUUUGCAUGGUGAGCCUUAUAUGAAUUACAUCAAUUUUGUCACCAAUAUCCAUCAUCAGAACAUUUUGCCUACUCACUGUGAAGACAAUGAGGAUGAAGACCUUUAUGACAAUCCACUUCCACUUAAUGAAUAAUGAGGAAACUGGGGCACAGAAAAAUUAAGUGACUUGUCCAGGAGGACAGGGCCAAUAACAGGUGGAACCAUAAGAAAAAAUCCAUUAACAGCUUUGAAAAAGAAAGAUAACAAUUACAUGUGUGUACAGCGUCCAAGGGAACCAUUAGCAAUGGAGCU